AUGUGUUUGAGUACUGAGUGUUGGAAAACGCCCUUCUACCUGUGUCACACCUGUCAGGAGAUAAUCCCUGCCAAUCUCGUCAUGACUCACCUCACCUCCACACUCCACCUUCGACGCACCCUGAUGUACCAGAGUCCGCAGUGUCUGCCAUUUGGGUGGGGGACAGAAAUGGGCCUGGAGGUCCUGAAGACUUUGGCCUGGGAGGAGGAGAGAGUCCGAGGAGAGAGAGACAAUGUACUGAAGGUGUUUGAUAUUCCUGACAGUGUUUUCCACAGCAUUAAGAUGUCCUCCUACUCCUCCGCCAUGAAGAAACUCAAGAACUUCCAUCGGUAUCUAAAAGUUGACAGGCCGCUGACGUUUUCCGCCCAUCUGAAAAACAAAGACCGGAGGAUUCCUAUGCUGGGUCUGCAGUUCCUGGUUCAGUACAGUGUUACUAGGGCCGGGGCCUCGUCUCCAGGCUGGGGCUUCCUCUGUUUGUUGUGUGAGAGGAAGUUGUCAGACGGACUCAGCAUCGCUCACAUACACAGCUAUGAACAUGUCACCAAGUUCCUGGAGCGUGCCCAUCCAGGCUCUGUGAAAGAGGUAGAGGAGUCUGAUAAGAGUAGCGAAAUACUGCUGGACCUGGCACAACAGGCUGAGAAAAUACAUGCCAUGGGUUGUCUACAGUUCAUGAUGUUGCAACGCUACAUCGGGGAGUCAGUCAUCUAUGAGAAAGCCUUAGUGAUCUUGAAGGCGAUCAAGAAGAGAGAGAACAUGGGAGACCUGAUGCCCAUGCUACCACCUGGCAAGAAACUGGUUCCCUCCAGUUCGAUCAGAGACCAGAGCCAGACUACCCCAGAACCUGCCCCUACAUCUGUAGGAGAGGAGAAACCGACCAGGAAAGAGACUGACAAAGACAAUGAGACCGAGAUGGACAGAGAGGCCACCCCAGAAACAAUUCAAAUGACCCAGGAGACUGGGGUGGAAGUGGACAAACGCAUUGGCAAAGAAACCUGCAGUGACCCCAGUAAAGACACUGGCAGAGAGACCAGUAAAGACACUGGCAGAGAGACCAGUAAAGACACUGGCAGAGAGACCAGUAAAGACACUGGCAGAGAGACCAGUAAAGACACUGGCAGAGAGACCAGUAAAGACACUGGCAGAGAGACCAGUAAAGACACUGGCAGAGAGACCAGUAAAGACACUGGCAGAGAGACCAGUAAAGACACUGGCAGAGAGACCAGUAAAGACACUGGCAGAGAGACCAGUAAAGACACUGGCAGAGAGACCAGUAAAGACACUGGCAGAGAGACCAGUAAAGACACUGGCAGAGAGACCAGUAAAGACACUGGCAGAGAGACCAGUAAAGACACUGGCAGAGAGACCAGUAAAGACACUGGCAGAGAGACCAGUAAAGACACUGGCAGAGAGACCAGUAAAGACACUGGCAGAGAGACCAGUAAAGACACUGGCAGAGAGACCAGUAAAGACACUGGCAGAGAGACCAGUAAAGACACUGGCAGAGAGACCAGUAAAGACACUGGCAGAGAGACCAGUAAAGACACUGGCAGAGAGACCAGUAAAGACACUGGCAGAGAGACCAGUAAAGACCCUGGCAGAGACUAG
ensembl:lncRNA